rnacentral:rRNA from 1 species
GAUGAACGCUGGCGGCGUGCCUAAUACAUGCAAGUCGAGCGAACGGACGAGAAGCUUGCUUCUCUGAUGUUAGCGGCGGACGGGUGAGUAACACGUGGAUAACCUACCUAUAAGACUGGGAUAACUUCGGGAAACCGGAGCUAAUACCGGAUAAUAUUUUGAACCGCAUGGUUCAAAAGUGAAAGACGGUCUUGCUGUCACUUAUAGAUGGAUCCGCGCUGCAUUAGCUAGUUGGUAAGGUAACGGCUUACCAAGGCAACGAUGCAUAGCCGACCUGAGAGGGGGAUCGGCCACACGGGAACUGAGACACGGUCCAGACUCCUACGGGAGGCAGCAGUAGGGAAUCUUCCGCAAUGGGCGAAAGCCUGACGGAGCAACGCCGCGUGAGUGAUGAAGGUCUUCGGAUCGUAAAACUCUGUUAUUAGGGAAGAACAUAUGUGUAAGUAACUGUGCACAUCUUGACGGUACCUAAUCAGAAAGCCACGGCUAACUACGUG